GACGAACGCUGGCGGCGUGCUUAACACAUGCAAGUCGAGCGGAAAGGCCCUUCGGGGUACUCGAGCGGCGAACGGGUGAGCAACACGUGAGUAAUCUGCCCUUCACUCUGGGAUAACUGCCGGAAACGGUGGCUAAUACCGGAUAUGACCACUUCGCGCAUGUGAUGGUGGUGGAAAGUUUUUUCGGUGGAGGAUGUGCUCGCGGCCUAUCAGCUUGUUGGUGGGGUAAUGGCCUACCAAGGCUUCGACGGGUAGCCGGCCUGAGAGGGUGACCGGCCACACGGGGACUGAGACACGGCCCAGACUCCUACGGGAGGCAGCAGUGGGGAAUAUUGCACAAUGGGCGCAAGCCUGAUGCAGCAACGCCGCGUGCGGGAUGACGGCCUUCGGGUUGUAAACCGCUUUUAGUAAGGAAGAAGGGGAGCUUGCUCCUUGACGGUACUUGCAGAAAAAGGACCGGCUAACUACGUGCCAGCCGCCGCAGUAAAAC
rnacentral:rRNA from 1 species